AAGUCGUAACAAGGUUUCCGUAGGUGAACCUGCGGAAGGAUCAUUAUUGAUUUUGAAUCGUUGCCUUCUGUGCUGGCUUCGGCAAGUGCACGCUGGUGACUUUCAUCCAACACCCUUGUGAACCUUUGGCCUCUUAACUAGCUUCGGCUGGGAGAGGAUUUUUACACACAAACUCGAAUGUAAUGAAAAACUCUGGUUGUGCGCAAGCACUAAUAUACAACUUUCAACAACGGAUCUCUUGGCUCUC
rnacentral:misc_RNA from 1 species